rnacentral:rRNA from 1 species
UACGUAGGGUGCGAGCGUUGUCCGGAAUUACUGGGCGUAAAGAGCUCGUAGGCGGUUUGUCACGUCGUCUGUGAAAUCCUAGGGCUUAACCUGGACGUGCAGGCGAUACGGGCUGACUUGAGUACUACAGGGGAGACUGGAAUUUCUGGUGUAGCGGUGGGAUGCACAGAUAUCAGGAAGAACACCGAUGGCGAAGGCAGGUCUCUGGGUAGUAACUGACGCUGAGGAGCGGAAAGCUGGGUAGCGAACAGGAUUAGACGUACCGGUACGUC